UAUUUAUUUGGGGAAGACAAA
rnacentral:piRNA from 1 species